GAUGAACGCUAGCGGCAGGCUUAAUACAUGCAAGUCGAGGGGCAGCAUGAGUGUAGCAAUACAUUUGAUGGCGACCGGCAAACGGGUGCGGAACACGUACAGAACCUUCCUUCGAGCGGGGAAUAGCCCAGAGAAAUUUGGAUUAAUACCCCAUUGUAUUACGGGGUAGCAUCACUUUGUAAUUAAAGAUUUAUCACUUGAAGAUGGCUGUGCGACUGAUUAGGUAGUUGGCGGGGUAAUGGCCCACCAAGCCUGCGAUCAGUAACUGGUGUGAGAGAACGACCAGUCACACGGGCACUGAGACACGGGCCCGACUCCUACGGGAGGCAGCAGUAAGGAAUAUUGGUCAAUGGACGAGAGUCUGAACCAGCCAUGCCGCGUGGAGGAUGAAGGUCCUCUGGAUUGUAAACUUCUUUUAUAUGGGACGAAAAAAGGCUUUUCUAAGUCGUCUGACGGUACCAUAUGAAUAAGCACCGGCUAACUCCGUGCCAGCCGCCGCCGUAA
rnacentral:rRNA from 1 species